UGAGGAAUCUUGCGCAAUGGGGGAAACCCUGAUGCAGCAACGCCGCGUGAAUGAUGAAGGCCUUCGGGUCGUAAAGUUCUUUGAUUGGGGACGAUAAUGACGGUACCCAAAAAACAAGCCACGGCUAACUACGUGCCAGCAGCCUCGGUAAUACGUAGGUGGCGAGCGUUGUCCGGAUUUACUGGGCGUAAAGGAUGCGUAGGUGGAAACUUAAGUGGGAUGUGAAAUCCCCGGGCUCAACCCGGGAACUGCAUUCCAAACUGGGUAUCUAGAGUGCAGGAGAGGAAAGCGGAAUUCCUAGUGUAGCGGUGAAAUGCGUAGAUAUUAGGAAGAACACCAGUGGCGAAGGCGGCUUUCUGGACUGUGACUGACACUGAGGCAUGAAAGCGUGGGGAGCAAACA
rnacentral:rRNA from 1 species